UGCUACAAAAGCUGCUCCUGCAGCUUGGUGGUGUGCCAGGAACGGUCACUCCAGGCAUCUCCUGCGAGUCCCCUCCGGAGAGCUUCCACUCCAAGGACUGCCAAUUCCCCCUUUCAAAAGCUCGUCCUGAACCCAUUGCCCCACGGACCUGCCGUACAACCAACAGGACAGGAGCAGCAGUUUAUCAGGCUUGGGAAGAGCUAGCGCAGAACAAGAGGACACCUGGAUCUUCUCUUUGAAAAUGCAUCUUCUGCUGAGCACAGAGAAUAUAUUCUUGAGAUGGUUGACCAGCAUCAAACAAGCCUAAUGAGCUCAGGAUGCAGCAAGUGCUUCUUUCCCUUUGGAGAGAGAAAUGUGCUUCUCUGCUGUCAUUAUGAUUACAGCACCACUUCUCUAAUCCUUGCUGAGGAUCAAGGCUGCUGGGCAUAUAUGUAACAAAGAGAGUCCCUGAAUCAGAUGAGACAAAUUACCGGAUUAAUUAGGAUGCGGCAGGGGGAAGACGUGGAAGGACAAAUGGCCACAGGUCUAUUCCCUGUACAACUAAAUGCUGAAAGACAUUGGAAUACAAAAGUCCAAUUCCCUAAGAGCCUGGUCCUAAAAAUGGGGACCUCUCACUGGUUUCAGUCUUUAAUAAAUUAAGAAAGAUUUCACAGCCAGAGUCCCAUUUACAAACUAGCCUUGGAAACCUUUGGAUUCAGGAUGCAGAUAUUGGAUUGAGUUGGGUAAAAAGGUUUCUCUGAAAGAGGGACUACACGUUCCAGAUGCAUCAGUUCACUUGUACAUAGGUUUUUAUUCUACUCUUUUCCCUUUAGAAAGGGGAGGGUGUUCAUUUACCCAGGGUGUGAAAUGCACCUUUUAUUUUGAUGUCAUUUGAAGCCCACUGCCCAAAUUCUUACUUCUCAAAGUCAAUGGAGAAUGGCAGAUGGCACGAUACAAGCCUGGUUUUCACUGAGAGUCGUAUCCCUUAUGCAUAUCCUAUCGUCAUGGCCUAUCAAUACCCCAGAGCUAGUGUAGUGAAGGCUUGGGCUCUCAUUUAGUGCCCUACAUACUACUGUGCAAUAAAAUGGACCUUGUUUUUCACAUCUUGCUCCCUGAGUCAAAAGGCGGCUCUAAGUUAUAUUCAGUCACAGAGCAGACAUUUCUCUAAUGGACAUCAAGCCACUCACUGGAUUGUGUCCCCAUCCUGGUCCUUUACCUCGUUCGCCCUUUAGGCCAUAAUAAGCCCACAAUAAAAAAAUAGCUCAAACUGUGAGCAAGGAUGCUAAAGUAUCUCCAACCACAAUGAGAUCUUAAUGUUUUGAAGGAAUCAUUUUUAGAAAGUAAUGAGCUUUCUGCCACCCUCCCAGCUCCAAUAAGGCUUUUGAAAACUUAUUCUCUAUCAUGACCAGUCCAGUGGUCCAAGUGCUCAGCACUAUACAUGAGGAGCUGGCCCAUCUCCCAAACAGAGCUGAACUGUGCAGACGGCUCCUGAUUCUGCAUGGGUUGCUAAUUAAACACGCUGCUCUUUUUAAAACAGGUCUCAUUUCAAAGCUGCAAGUAGGGUAACGGGACAAUGACAUCAGGGAUCAAGUCUCUCGCUGCUGUCUAUCACACUGCAGUUUAUGGAUCCCAGUGUCCUCUUGUGACUGUAGGAGGAAAAUCCAAUGCUGAAGGAAUCUAUGAUUUUCCUUGAUUCUAUGAAUCUGCCUCCAUCAGAAAGUAGCUUGCGGUACCUUGACCUUUCUUUAAUAGUGUAAGGCACUCAGACGACUCUACUGAUGGCCUCUACAGGAAUGCAAAUACCUACAAAACACGGGUGAGAUUUAUGGGCCCAGUCCAGGUCCUUGACAACAUGGCAGGUGGCCAACUGAGUCAGGUUUAUGGUGGUCUAUACCUCCAAUUUAGCACAAAGCAGCUGGAGUAUACCGGUGAGUUUUGCCUCAUCAAUAUGUAGAGAUGUAAGAAAAGCUCAGAGUUUUCAGAGGAUAGAAAAGGGAUUUCUUUUUGCAGCUUUUCUUUGUUGAGCUCCAUCAGCAGGCCUUUCAAAGCCACUAAAUGCAAGAGAGUUUUCUUCACUUAACAAACACUACCAUAAAAUGUUUAAUAAUAAAACGGA